rnacentral:lncRNA from 1 species
GUUUAGGUUCUUUUUUGUAGAAAACCUAUUUAGGUUUGACCUGUGAGUUGUGGGUAAAUCAUUGGGUAGACGUAGGAGUUUGACUUGAUUUUGUUCUCUGUUUGAUUGGUCUUUAUUUUGACCAAGUGUUUUUAGCUCUUUAAAUUGUAAUUGAUUUGAGAAAGGCGAGUUAACUUGUUAAGAUUAUUAUUGUUAUAUUCGUUGGAGCAAUAAUGUUAGUUAAGGAUGGUGAUUUGAUCAUUAAGGAGAAUAAUGUCAUACUUUGUUCAAUUAAGAAAUGAUUAUACGAUUAUGAUAUGAGCAGUUGUAUCAGUUAGUUUUGAUAUUGGAGAAUUAUUUGUUAGAGUUAUUUCAGGUAAUUACAAAUUAUUAUGAUUUUGGAAUUGAGGAUUUUAUUUGGGUUAGAUUCUGAUUUUUGUUAAGUUGUGAAUAAUUUGAGGUAUGUGAAUCGGUGGGAUAAUAUGAUAAAGUGAAAACUAUUAAGUACAAAGGAUCUCUUGAAAUUUUGAGUUAUUGUAAAGAUUCGAGGUAAUUAGAUUAAUUUUUUGGAGUAAAUGAAUUUUGCGAUUAUUUCCUAGUAGAAUAUUGGAGUUAUUUUAUAUGAAAUUUUGAGUGAUAGUAUGAGGAGAUUUUGGAAUUUGUUGGGUUAAGGUUUGCACCAAGAGAAUGAUUGAUUUAUUAAAUGAUUAGAUAUUAAGUGAUGAAUCUUUAAGAGAUUUUGAAAGCUAUCGUUUGUUUAUUCAGAUAGUAGGAUAUAUGAUUUGGAGUUUGGUAUGGUGAUGGAGAGAUCUUAGUAGUAGUAUAUUUUUGGUGUAAUAAUAGUUGAGAACUAAUUUGAUUGGAGGUUAUGAUAUUUUGAAACUCUUAAAGACUUAGGAGAGUUGGUGAUAAAGAGAUAUUAGUAGUAUAUUCUUUGGUGUAAUAUUAUUUGGUGAAUAGUUCAAAUUAAGGAUGAGAUAUUUUGAAGCUCUUGAGGACUUGGGGAGAGUUGGUAAUAUGGUUUGCAUAGUUGUUUUGGUUAUCUGAUGUCUUUAGAGUUUUGCGUGAAUUUAUGUAAAAUUAAAUAAAAAUAAUUUGUUAGAUCUUUGUCAUGUGUGGAAUAUAAACAUUUUAACGAGUUAAAAAUAAUUUUAAAUAUUUUGGUUAUUUGAAUCGUAUUUAGAUGAAGAAAAAUGUUUGUGAUUUCGAAUUAUGUUCCGAAGAGUACGUACGCUUGCAAGAAUGAAACUCAAAGAUAUUAACGGGGGGCCCGCACCAACAGUGGAUCAUGUGAUUUAAC